rnacentral:rRNA from 1 species
UACGAACCGUGCGAACGUUAUUCGGAAUCACUGGGCUUAAAGCGCGUGUAGGCGGGCCGGCGCGUCGGCUGCUGAAAUCCCCCGGCUCAACCGGGGAAGGGGCACCGAUACGGCCGGCCUGGAGGGGGGUAGGGGGGACGGGAACUUCCGGUGGAGCGGUGAAAUGCGUUGAGAUCGGAAGGAACGCCCGCGGCGAAAGCGCGUCCCUGGACCCCGCCUGACGCUGAGACGCGAAAGCCAGGGGAGCGAACGGG